rnacentral:misc_RNA from 1 species
GACAGUACUUGGAACCAGAUUUUGAGGUAGAAGGCAGUGCACUGGUGGCCAGCGGCAUGCCAGAGGCGGAGGGCGACACUACUAUCAACGCCACCGAUGAGAAGAACAGCUACCCAAAGACGCCUAUCGGGCAUGCAGCAAAAGGAAUAAUAGGCCUCAAUACCGGCAUUGUUGAGCAGAUUAGAAGCCCGUAAGGUAGAAGAUCGUGCCGGCGAUGUGGAAGAAGACGAGAG